rnacentral:rRNA from 1 species
AUGCAUCCCGUGGCUGGGACCUUUGCUUCCUGUUUGACCCAGUCCCUUCUCAUCCAACAACAACAACAAAAGGAGGAAGCGGCUGCUCCGGCCGCCCCCUGCAGAUUCCAACCAGCGACGGCCCCUUCUGCUCACGCGCCCCUUGGAGAUCCCGGAUCAUGUGGACGUCGACAAGAAGCACGGAGCAGUGGAUGCGGUGCAGUACCUCACUGUAGAUUUUCCUCCCGCUCUUCGUCCACAGGCAAAGGAAGGGAGGAGAGAGGUGUCGGAGUACAGGUGACCAGCAAGCAAAGAAAAGGAAGAGCCAAAGGGGCAGCACUAUUUGUACAUUGCGGCCACCUAGUGGGGUGGAGCUAG